rnacentral:rRNA from 1 species
GUCUACAGCCAUGCUACCCUGAACAAGCCCAAUCCGGUCUGAUCUCAGAAGCUAAGCUACGUUGGGACGGGUUAGUACUGGGAUGGUAGACCACCUAGGAAGACCUCAACUGAAUGGA